rnacentral:rRNA from 1 species
CUGGCGGCGUGCCUAAUACAUGCAAGUCGAKCGGACAGAAGGGAGCUUGCUCCCGGAUGUUAGCGGCGGACGGGUGAGUAACACGUGGGUAACCUGCCUGUAAGACUGGGAUAACUCCGGGAAACCGGAGCUAAUACCGGAUAGUUCCUUGAACCGCAUGGUUCAAGGAUGAAAGACGGUUUCGGCUGUCACUUACAGAUGGACCCGCGGCGCAUUAGCUAGUUGGUGGGGUAAUGGCUCACCAAGGCGACGAUGCGUAGCCGACCUGAGAGGGUGAUCGGCCACACUGGGACUGAGACACGGCCCAGACUCCUACGGGAGGCAGCAGUAGGGAAUCUUCCGCAAUGGACGAAAGUCUGACGGAGCAACGCCGCGUGAGUGAUGAAGGUUUUCGGAUCGUAAAGCUCUGUUGUUAGGGAAGAACAAGUGCGAGAGUAACUGCUCGCACCUUGACGGUACCUAACCAGAAAGCCACGGCUAACUACGUGCCAGCAGCCGCGGUAAUACGUAGGUGGCAAGCGUUGUCCGGAAUUAUUGGGCGUAAAGGGCUCGCAGGCGGUUUCUUAAGUCUGAUGUGAAAGCCCCCGGCUCAACCGGGGAGGGUCAUUGGAAACUGGGAAACUUGAGUGCAGAAGAGGAGAGUGGAAUUCCACGUGUAGCGGUGAAAUGCGUAGAGAUGUGGAGGAACACCAGUGGCGAAGGCGACUCUCUGGUCUGUAACUGACGCUGAGGAGCGAAAGCGUGGGGAGCGAACAGGAUUAGAUACCCUGGUAGUCCACGCCGUAAACGAUGAGUGCUAAGUGUUAGGGGGUUUCCGCCCCUUAGUGCUGCAGCUAACGCAUUAAGCACUCCGCCUGGGGAGUACGGUCGCAAGACUGAAACUCAAAGGAAUUGACGGGGGCCCGCACAAGCGGUGGAGCAUGUGGUUUAAUUCGAAGCAACGCGAAGAACCUUACCAGGUCUUGACAUCCUCUGACAACCCUAGAGAUAGGGCUUUCCCUUCGGGGACAGAGUGACAGGUGGUGCAUGGUUGUCGUCAGCUCGUGUCGUGAGAUGUUGGGUUAAGUCCCGCAACGAGCGCAACCCUUGAUCUUAGUUGCCAGCAUUCAGUUGGGCACUCUAAGGUGACUGCCGGUGACAAACCGGAGGAAGGUGGGGAUGACGUCAAAUCAUCAUGCCCCUUAUGACCUGGGCUACACACGUGCUACAAUGGACAGAACAAAGGGCUGCAAGACCGCAAGGUUUAGCCAAUCCCAUAAAUCUGUUCUCAGUUCGGAUCGCAGUCUGCAACUCGACUGCGUGAAGCUGGAAUCGCUAGUAAUCGCGGAUC